UGUUAGAGUUGUAUUCAAAGAAAGUUGGAAGAAAGUUCCUUUGGUAUAUUUUCCUUAAAUGUAUCUUCCUGACUUCAGUACUUACAGAAUGGGAAAUCUUGGUACUUAUCGCGGUUUGAAGCAAAUUCACUUGGUUUGGAGAAUUUUGUGUCUAGCUCCCUGGACCAAAUUCCAUAAGUGUUAUUAUAUUUGUAUGAGUAUAAUUUUGGGCUUCAAUAUGUUCUUAAUGUCAACGAUAAUCCUGGAUGUUGUAUUCUGUGGAAACUUUAGGUGUGCUUUUAACAAUGUGACAUAUUACCUCGCUCUCGUAUGCAAAGUCAUUCAAUAUUUGGUGAUGCUUUUGGUUCAAAAGAAGCUCUUUCAAGUGGACAGACUAUUUCAUAUCCUAGAUGAACAUGUGGUUUUACCGGAAGAUCAAGUAGUGGCAAAUAAAGCAAUUGAAAAAGGCCAGCGAAUACUCAAGUAUUUCUUGAGUGCUUGCCUACUUUCCGUAUAUUGCAAAAUAGUGGGAUUGCUUUUCACUUCAGGCCAGGUACCUAUAUUACCGUUAUGGUCUCCAUUUGAAGACUACUUCGUUAUAAAAUUGCUGUAUGAUUCUACCAUUGGACACUUGAUAAUACUUCAAACUAUUGCCAACGACAUGUACGCACCAAUUUGUUUUCUAUUGUUGAACGCACAUUUGAAAAUUCUAUCUCAGCAAUUAUUGCGUGCAGGUUGUGGAGAACAGGAAUAUCCUACUCAAUCAAAUAUAUCCACCCUUGUUAAAUGCCACGUCACCAUUUUGAAGAUUUAUAAAAUUUUAGAUGAAACUAUCCCGAAAAUGUUCUUUGUGGUACUUCUGAUUGCUAGUAUUCUACUCUGCAUUUCAAUUACAUCUAUAAUUACAAACAGUCUGGAACCCUCGGACAUAAUAUUUACUGUGGGAUUAACUUCCAUACUCAUGUUUCAAAUAUUACCAAUUUGCGUUCUGGCUCAUCAAUUUCAAUCGUUGAGUGAGGAAGUUGCAGAUGCGGCAUACGCCAGUAAUUGGCCUGACCAGGAUCGUGCCUUCAGACGUGCAAUACUUUUAAUUAUACAGAGGGCACAAAACUGCAAACCGAUUGUAGUGUGCGGAAUAGUGCCGAUAAAUUUGCCGACUUUUCUCAGUAUUGUACGGUGCGCCUACUCUUUCUCGGCAAUUUAUAGUAUGAUGAAUUAGUUAAAAUUUGAAGAAGACAUCAUUGAUAUUACCCUGGUAUACGAUUGCACAUCACUUGAAUUUAAAGUUUAUAGAUAUUUGCUGUAAUUAACACUUAUAAAAAUUGUUGAAUUAUUCCGCAUUAACAUUCGCGAUCCUCUUAAUAUUCCAUAUCACCCUUCGUAAGUAAGGGACUCCAGACAU
rnacentral:misc_RNA from 1 species